GAUGAAGAACGCAGCGAAAUGCGAUAAGUAAUGUGAAUUGCAGAAUUCAGUGAAUCAUCGAAUCUUUGAAUGCACCUUGCGUCCUUUGGCCAUUCCGAAGGGCAUGCCUGUUUGAGUAUCAUGAACACCUCAACUCUUCAUGGUUUUCCAUGAUGAGCUUGGACUUUGGGGGUCUUGCUGGCCUGUGGGUCGGCUCCUCUCAAAUGAAUCAGCUUGCCGGUUUUUGGUGGGCAUCACAGGUGUGAUAACUAUCUACGCUUGUGGUUUUCCACCAGGGUAACCUUCAGCAGUGGAGGUUCACUGGAGCUUACAAAUGUCUCUCCUCUGUGAGGACAGCCCUUUGAAUGUUUGAUCUCAAAUCAGGUAGGACUACCCGCUGAACUUAAGCAUAUCAAUAAGCGGAGGA
rnacentral:misc_RNA from 1 species